CUUGUACCUUAGAAGUCAGAGCAUUGGUGCGUAAAGCCAAAGGUCCCGGGUUCGAUUCCCGGCAAG
rnacentral:tRNA from 1 species